UACGUAGGGUGCAAGCGUUAAUCGGAAUACUGGGCGUAAAGCGUGCGCAGGCGGUUUUGUAAGUCUGUCGUGAAAUCCCCCGGGCUCAACCUGGGAAUUGCGAUGGAGACUGCAAGGCUAGAAUCUGGCAGAGGGGGGUAGAAUUCCACGUGUAGCAGUGAAAUGCGUAGAGAUGUGGAGGAACACCGAUGGCGCAAGGCAGCCCCCCUGGGUCGAAGAUUGACGCUCAUGCAC
rnacentral:rRNA from 1 species